AAUAAAGUAAAAAAAAAAAAAAAAAAAAAAAACUCAGGAGCAGAGAGAGACUUUUUUUUUUUUUUUAAACAAAUACUAUAUUGUUUAACCCAGUUCUCAUUAAAGACCAUGCUUUACUUGAAGAAGUACUUGACCGAGGGCCUGAUCCAGUUCACCAUCCUGCUCAGCCUGAUCGGGGUGAGGGUCGACGUGGACACCUACCUGAGCGCCCAGCUUCCCCCGCUGCGCGAGAUCAUCCUGGGCCCCAGCUCCGCCUACACCCAGACUCAGUUCCACAACCUCCGCAACACGCUGGACGGCUAUGGCCUGCACCCGAAGAGCGUGGACCUAGACUGCUACUUCACCUCCCGCUGGCUGCUGGGAGAGGUGCGCUCCCUGGACAGGCUGCAGGUUCCCAGCACGGAGCUCAGCGCCUGGCUGGCUUACCGGGACACAGAGGGCCCUGUGGUCUCCAGCCCGCAGUCCGGCAGCGGUGGUGGUGGCAGUGCCCUGGAGAAUGCCAGCGGCGUGCUGGAGGAGAUGGGCAACCUGGAGAAUUCGGCUGUGAGGGGCAACGGGACCCUGGACCAGGGCUACGGCCAGGAACUGGAGGAGAACCUGGGGGCUGUGGCUCCAGGAGACAGCAGUGAACUCAACGACGACAGCAGCAGAAGCAACCUGACUAAAGAGGAUAUUGAUCUGAUUGACAUCCUGUGGCGGCAGGACAUCGACCUGGGCGCGGGGCGAGAGGUGUUCGACUACAGCAGCCGCCAGAAAGAGAACAAGGUGGAGAAGAGACCCAGCGAGGAGGAGGAAGAGCGGACGGGAGAGAGCUGGAGGAACAGCCUGAACCAGGGGCAGGGGGAGGGGCCUGUGGACGGAGAGACUGGAGAGAGCAUCCCACAGCAGUUGCACAGCCUUGUGGACCAAACCUCCCCGUCUCUACAAGAAUGCCUCAGUCUGCUGGAAGCCACUUUCCCUUUUGUAGAAGAGACCGAGUUCCCAGGCUCCGUGUAUCCAGAGCUGGAGGACCCCAGUGAAGCGGGACCCUCCACUUCCAGCUCCCAGGGACCCCUGCUCUCUCCCCUGCUGUCCCAGACUGACUCUCCUCUGGACCGGGAGCAGCAGUGGCAGGAUAUCAUGGCCAUCAUGGAUCUGCAGGACAUGGAAAUAAAUGAAGCCACCGACCCUUCCUUCAACACCAGCACCAGCAGCAGUGGAGUGGACACAGGGUCCCUGGCUGACUUCAGCUUCUCCGCCCACACCCCCAUCAACCAGGACGUGAGCCUCCACCAGGCCUCCCUGCCCAGCUGCAACCAGGACUUCCCGGGGGGAUUCUACUGCCCCGAGCUCGGCUCCUGCCCCAUGGAGGACAUGGGGACCUCCCCCCCCGCCUCCCUGCUCCACCUCUCCUCCAGCAACUCCAGCAACAUCGACUCCACCUUCGGAGCGCCCAACCUGACAGAUGUGCUCCUGCCCCCGCAGCUCAACGGCUCCGCCAACGGCACGGGGCUGCAGGACCCGCUCGCCGGGCUGCUGGAGGAGGCCCUUCUGGAUGAGAUCAGCCUGCUGGACUUGGCCCUGGUGGAGGGGUUCAACCCAGCCCAGGCCUCCCGGCUGAGGGAGGAGUUCGAUUCAGACUCGGGGCUGUCACUCGACUUCAGCCGGAGCCCCGCCUCCCCGAGCGGCUCCGAGACCUCCUCUUCUUCAUCUUCGUCGUCCUCUACAUCGUCGUUCUCGGAAGAAGGGGCGGUGGGCUACAGCACAGACUCGGAAGCGGUGGAUUUCGAGGAGGGGGGAGCGGUAGGGGGUUGCUACCAGCCCGAGUUCAGCAAGUUCUGCCGCAUGAGCUACCAGGACCCCUCCCGAUUCAGCCACCUCCCCCAGCUGGAGCACGUGGCCCACAACCACACCUACAACCUGGCCCCGUCCCACCCAGACCUCCCCUCUGCUCCAGGAAAGAAGAGCGCGGGCAGGGAGAAGCAGCAGCAGCAGCAAGACUUGCUGGACAAGCAGCAGAGCAGAGACGAGAGGAGAGCCCGGGCCAUGAAAAUCCCCUUCUCCAACGAGAAGAUCGUCCACCUGCCCGUGGAGGAGUUCAACGAGCUGUUGUCGAAACACCAGCUGAGCGAGGCCCAGCUCGCCCUGGUCCGGGACAUCCGCCGCCGGGGCAAGAACAAGAUGGCAGCCCAGAACUGCCGCAAGAGGAAGCUGGACACCAUCCUGAACCUGGAGCGGGGCGUGGAGGCGCUGCGCAGGGACAAGGCGAGGCUGCUGCGGGAGAAAGUGGAGUUCGUCCGGUCCCUCAGGCAGAUGAAGCAGAAGAUGCAGAGCCUGCACCAGGAGGUGUUCUCCAGGCUGCGGGAUGAGAGCGGGAGGCCCUACCCGGCUGGAGAGUUCUCCCUGCAGUAUGGCAGCGACGGCAGCGUCCUCCUCGUGCCCAGGAGCUUCCGCGACGAGCAGCAGCAGCCGUCUAGGAAGCCAGAGAAGAAACCGAAAGACAAGAAGAAGUGAGAGUAAUGUGAUCUGAGAUUUUUUGCGACUUGUCUGAAGAAGAAGAAGAAAGAAAUGGGAAUGACGUGAUGGUGUAGAUUUAAAUAACGUCGACUGUUUAUCCUGCAUCGGGAAAGGAGCUGCAUUCGUUAGGACAAGUGGAACAGAGUUAGCCACCGGACGGACCGACGACAACGUUGUUUGGGAAUAACUAAAACUUGGCCAGAGCAGGUUCUGGAGAGUGACCGAAGUGAAUCGUUUGAGCCCACGGCCUGGCGUAGGAGGGGCUGUUGCUAAGCCUGCUGUUGUAUAUUUGUGCAUAACUUCAUAUAUACGCAGUAAACAGGGCUUGGCUGCAGUGCACUGGCUGUGGAGUGUAUGGGUUAAAGCAGUUUGCAGAUCACUGCAGAGGCCGGAUACACCAGAGUGAAGAGAAACUAUGUUUUGACUUGCAGCUUCAAGCUCAGCAACCGUGCAUCUAGUCCAGUGUGCAUAAUACAUGCAUGUAUUGCUUCUGGGGUGUCCCAACCCCAGUAUACUGGAGCACCAUCAGAUUUUAAAACAUUCUUCUGCAGUGUCCCUUUCCUCGGCACAACUGGGCAGAUGUUCGUAAGACGUGGGUUUUUUAAUUUUUUUUUUACUUGCAGCAUGUAUGGACGGGGGUAUUAUUAUUAUUAUUAUUAUUAUUAUUGGUGUCUUUUUUUUGUUUGUUUUGUAUAGCUGGAAGAUUAUAAAAAUUUCGAUUAUUAGUAUUUUUUUUUUUUUUUUUUUUUUGAGGCUGAUACCACUUAUUUAAACAUUUUGAGAAAAUAAAAUUCAAAUGCAGGGAAACUUACUGAACCCCGGUUAUCCGAACACCUGUUAUCCGAACCCCCCGGUUAUCCAAACAGCCCCUCGUCAGCCUGUCCUGUGCUCUUCUGCCCUAUUUGCAAAGAUACGCUGACCAUCCCUCAAUCUCAUAUCUAAAGAACAGCACAGUGCUGUACGCUCUAUACUUGCAGGCAAAGGGGUGAAUUAUAUUUAUUUAGGAGGACUCUUAAUUGGGGAGUCAUGCGCAAAAAAGUCAGUGUCAUAAUUGGAUUAUCAGAACAAUUGGUUCGGAGAAUAGAAGUGUUACUCUAUAGUUUCCCCCGAAUUUACACCAUUGUUUUGAAAUUAUCAUCAUAAUAAAAAACAUCGAUAAAAAGGCCUUAAAACAGCAGACAUAACCAAUAGACUUAUUGGGAAUAAGAAGGCACUUGCUGUGUACAAAGUGGGGGGUCAUACAUGUAGUGUGAUGAGUAACCCAACAUACAGCCCUUGAGCUAGUUUUACAUGACAGCUAACAUUAGAAAACAUUAUUUAUUUUUUUUGCUUCAUGGAAAAUGUCUUUUUCAUUCAUUAAAAAAAAUGAGAACGUAUUACAGAUGACGUUGGAGAAAAUAAUAUUUUGGGUUGCAGUUAAUUUUUUCCAAAAUUAAUUGGAUUAUCACUGGAAUUAAACACCAUGUUGAGUGUUAGCUAUCAGAAAGAAAAUGUGAUUUAAAAAAAAAUGUUUUUUCACUAACAAACGUAUUUCAUUACAGUACUUGAAAAGUUACUCAAUUAUUACAUACAAGGGUUUUUGUUUUGUUUUUUGCUUUCAAAAAAAUGAUAGAUACACUGGGAUAAAUAAAAAUUUGAAAGCACCUUUUAAAAAAAAUGAUUAUUUUUUUUGGUUGCUUUUAAAAAAUACAUAUCGAAAUA